UACGAAGGGGGCUAGCGUCGCUCGGAAUCACUGGGCGUAAAGGGCGCGUAGGCGGCCCGCCUGGUCCGGCGUGAAAUCCCGGGGCUCAACCCCGGGGCUGCGCCGGAGACGGGCGGGCUGGAGGCGAGGAGAGGGCCGCGGAAUUCCCAGUGUAGAGGUGAAAUUCGUAGAUAUUGGGAAGAACACCGGUGGCGAAGGCGGCGGCCUGGCCCCGAUCUGACACUGAGGCGCGACAGCGUGGGGAGCAAACAGG
rnacentral:rRNA from 1 species